rnacentral:rRNA from 1 species
UACAGAGGGUGCAAGCGUUAAUCGGAGUUACUGGGCGUAAAGGGCGCGUAGGCGGAUAUUUAAGUCGGAUGUGAAAUCCCUGGGCUUAACCUAGGAAUUGCAUUCGAUACUGGGUAUCUGGAGUAUGGUAGAGGAAAGUGGAAUUCCCGGUGUAGCGGUGAAAUGCGUAGAUAUCGGGAAGAACAUCAAGGCGAAGGCAGCUUUCUGGACCAAUACUGACGCUGAGGCGCGAAAGCGUGGGGAGC